GAUGAACGCUAGCUACAGGCUUAACACAUGCAAGUCGAGGGGUAACGAGAGGAAAGCUUGCUUUCCUUGUCGACGACCGGCGCACGGGUGAGUAACGCGUAUCCAACCUGCCCCCAACUAGGGAAUAACCUUGCGAAAGUAAGACUAAUACCCUAUAAUUUCCUCAGAUGUCAUCUGACGAGGAAUAAAGAUUUAUCGGUUGUGGAUGGGGAUGCGUCUGAUUAGCUUUUUGGCGGGGUAACGGCCCACCAAGGCAACGAUCAGUAGGGGUUUUAAGAGGAAGGUCCCCCACGUUGGAGCUGAGACACGGUCCAAACUCCUACGGGAGGCAGCAGUGAGGAAUAUUGGUCAAUGGGCGGAAGCCUGAACAAGCCAAGUAGCGUGCAGGAUGACGGCCCUAUGGGUUGUAAACUGCUUUUAUACAGGAAUAAAGUUAGCCACGUNUGGUUAUUUGUAGGUACUGUAUGAAUAAGGACCGGCUAAUUCCGUGCCAGCCGCCGCCGUAA
rnacentral:rRNA from 1 species